GUUGAGGACCCUGCUCGAUGAGCUUACAUGCUAGAGGGAGUGGGGUAUAGUGACACAAAGGGUUAAAGUAGGGGAAUUAAAUAGUUUGUUACAGAAGGGUUUAUUGAGUGCUUGGUAGGUCAUUUUUGACAGGUGCAGGAACAGAGUCAUGGGGUGGGGGAUGAGAAACCUGCUGACAGUUUAAUUGAUACGCUUUAAUGAAGAAGUGAGUUUUCAAAGAUUUUUUGAAGGAGUGGAGGCUGGGUGAAAGUCUGAUUGAGGAGGGAAGAGAGUUCCACAGAAUAGG